rnacentral:rRNA from 1 species
CCUACGGGAGGCAGCAGUGGGGAAUAUUGCACAAUGGGGGAAACCCUGAUGCAGCGACGCCGCGUGAGUGAAGAAGUAUCUCGGUAUGUAAAGCCCUGUCAGCAGGGAAGAAAAUGACGGUACCUGACCAAGAAGCCCCGGCUAACUACGUGCCAGGAGCCGCGGUAAUACGUAGGGGGCAAGCGUUAUCCGGAUUUACUGGGCGUAAAGGGAGCGUAGACGGCAGGGCAAGUGUGGAGGGAAAGGCGGGGGCUCAACCCCCGGACUGCUCUGGAAACUGGCAGGCUGGAGUGCAGGAGGGGUAAGUGGAAUUCCUGGUGUAGCGGUGAAAUGCGUAGAUAUUAGGAGGAACACCAGUGGCGAAGGCGGCUUACUGGACUGUAACUGACGUUGAGGCUCGAAAGCGUGGGGAGCAAACAGGAUUAGAUACCCGUGUAGUC